rnacentral:sRNA from 1 species
GCCAGGUACAGUGGCGCAUGCCUGUAAUCUCAGCUGCUUGGGAGGCUGAGGCAGGAGGAUCACAAAGCCAGCUUCAUCAACUUUGCGAGGCCCUAAGCAACUUUGUGAGACCCUGUUUCAA